AAAAGAUUUGCCAGAUGCAAAAUAUGCAACAACGUCAAAUUUCAUUCGUUAUUUUAAGAACCACAAGGAAAGAACAUCAUGCUGAGCUACUUGACAGUGGAGUUGAACUGAGAUCUGCUUGUGGAGAACCGUGGAGUUGAACUGAGAUCUGCUUGUGGAGAAUCGUGGAGUUGAAUUGGGAUCUGUUUGUGGAGAACCGUGGAGUUGAACUGAGAUCUGCUUGUGGAGAGCAGUGGACUUGAACUGGGAUCUGUUUGUGGAGAGCAGUGGACUUGAACUGGGAUCUGUUUGUGGAGAGCAGUGGACUUGAACUGGGAUCUGUUUGUGGAGAGCAGUGGACUUGAACUGGGAUCUGUUUGUGGAGAGCAGUGGACUUGAACUGGGAUCUGUUUGUGGAGAGCAGUGGACUUGAACUGGGAUCUGUUUUUGGAGAGCAGUGGACUUGAACUGGGAUUUGUAGAGUGUUUUGGUCUGAAGAAUUGUUCCAGGACAGGAAGAUGGACAGAGUUAACCGGGUGCUGAAGGUGGUGAGGCGGAUGUCCCCCAGAAAGAGAGGGGGAGAACGGGGGAGGACCUCCCCCUCCCUGGGGGACCUGGAUAGCCCUGAGACCUGUGAGGAUCUCUGUUCCCUCAGUCUCUGCAUCAGUGGUGAGCAAACUCUUUCAGUCUUACUCUCUUUUCCAUCUUUAUAAAUCAGUGUUGAGGAAUCUGGGAAGACUCUACCACAGGGCUAACCGGCUUUUCUCUGUAUUUCUCUGCUCUUUACGUUUUUUGUACUGUUAUCAAAUCACCAUUGUGUUCUUUUCCUAAUUGAUUUUCUUCCUUUUCCACUGCUCAGUGUACUUCUCUUGGAUAUGUUUUAUUGACCCUAUACAGGAAGGGUUGUAAAUAGUGUAUGAAGUAGUAAUGUUUAUUGUUUAUUUGUAUGUUACUCAGGAGUACAGUUUGUGUGGCAAAUUCUUGAAUCAUAGGCUUAUUGUUUUUGAUUGAUGCUUAAACAUUAUUAAUUGAAAGUUUAAAGAAAAUUUGACAUUGGACAUAUUGACUGGGAAUGAUGCAAUAUUCUCUCUGUUAAAAGUCCAGUAUUAAUGGAACUCUACAGAGUCCCAAGGCCCUUCAAGUUACUCAUAAUGAUCAUGGUGGAACUUUUCCACUGCAUGUAGAUUCUUCGCUACAGCAGUGGAAUUAUCUUGCUGCUACACAAGCUUUUAAUUAUGAUGUGGAUUAUAAUGAUUUAAAAUGUUGUUGUAGAGGGUAAGUAUAAAGAAGGCUGACACAAGUGGAAAUGACACAUUUAGCAACCUUUUUUACCCUAGAAUAUAUGAUGAUCAAGUUAAGAUACAGCAUCUGUAGUUGACUGACUUGGGAGCCAGAAACAAAUGUUCACUACUUCCAUAAAGUAAAGAGUCCAACAAUGUUUGCUCUACACUGUUAGCAGUUAAGCUACAUGGAGG
ensembl:lncRNA